GCCCCCAUAACUCAACGGCAGAGUAACUGCCUUUUAAGCAGUAAGUGAAGGUUCGAUUCCUUCUGGGGGCACAA
rnacentral:tRNA from 1 species